rnacentral:lncRNA from 1 species
GUAGGGAUAUAUGCAUCAUGUACUAUGUGAUCAUCGAGAUCCCCUUGAACCUUCCUACUCUAAUGAUUGAGGCCAUGAGGGAGACCCUAAAUAGGUCUAAGGCUCACUUGCCUUAUGGUAUGGUACUCACCCUGGUCUGUAGAAGGUUCGAAGUCUGUUUUGAGGGGGAGACAGUUACCAGGUUAUCAUAUUCUGACACCAUCAACCGUCACACACUGCACCG